GGGGACAACCCGCCGAAAGGCGGGCUAAACCCGCGUACAUGCCACCGGGGCAUCCCGGAGGCAGGAAAGGCUUCGGCCGGACAGGGAUGGGCAUGCGGCGCAUUAGGCAGUAGGCGGGGUAACGGCCCACUUAACCGACGAUGCGUAGGGGUUCUGAGAGGAAGGUCCCCCACACUGGUACUGAGACACGGACCAGACUCCUACGGGAGGCAGCAGUGAGGAAUAUUGGUCAAUGGUCGGGAGACUGAACCAGCCAAGCCGCGUGAGGGAUGAAGGUACAGAGUAUCGUAAACCUCUUUUGUCAGGGAACAAAGGCGGGGACGUGUCCCCGGAUGAGUGUACCUGAAGAAAAAGCAUCGGCUAACUCCGUGCCAGCAGCCGCGGUAAUACGGAGGAUGCGAGCGUUAUCCGGAUUUAUUGGGUUUAAAGGGUGCGCAGGCGGUCUGUUAAGUCAGCGGUCAAAGCCCGGGGCUCAACCCCGGCCCGCCGUUGAAACUGGCAGUCUCGAGUUGGAGAGAAGUAUGCGGAAUGCGCGGUGUAGCGGUGAAAUGCAUAGAUAUCGCGCAGAACUCCGAUUGCGAAGGCAGCAUGCCGGCUCCACACUGACGCUGAGGCACGAAAGCGUGGGUAUCGAACAGGAUUAGAUACCCUGGUAGUCCACGCAGUAAACGAUGAA
rnacentral:rRNA from 1 species